rfam:Cavia porcellus supercont2_71 genomic scaffold, whole genome shotgun sequence.
GGGGAUUUAGCUCAGUGGCAUAAGCACCUGCCUUGCAAGCAGGUGGUCGGUCGUGAGUUCGAUCCCCA